rnacentral:rRNA from 1 species
UACGUAGGGUGCAAGCGUUGUCCGGAAUUAUUGGGCGUAAAGAGCUCGUAGGCGGUUUGUCGCGUCUGCUGUGAAAACUCGGGGCUUAACUCCGGGCCUGCAGUGGGUACGGGCAGACUAGAGUGCGGUAGGGGAGACUGGAAUUCCUGGUGUAGCGGUGAAAUGCGCAGAUAUCAGGAGGAACACCGGUGGCGAAGGCGGGUCUCUAGGCCGUAACUGACGCUGAGGAGCGAAAGCGUGGGGAGCGAACAGG